AUGAUCCUGCUGGCUCUUGUUAUGCCCGACAAGUUGUGUUUUAUUAUGAAACGCUGCACACUCAGUCUAUGCCAGAAACUAUGUUUAGCACAUGGAUAUGAUAAGGGUCAAAGCGACGGCAUAUCUUUCACAAAAAACCAGUGUUGCUGCUUCGCGAAGGGAACUCCGCCAUUAACAUGA
rnacentral:rRNA from 1 species